rnacentral:rRNA from 1 species
UGGUGGCGAGUGGCGAACGGGUGAGUAAUAUAUCGGAACGUACCCGGAAAUGGGGGAUAACGUAGCGAAAGUUACGCUAAUACCGCAUAUGCCCUGAGGGGGAAAGCGGGGGAUUCGCAAGGACCUCGCGUUUUCGGAGCGGCCGAUAUCGGAUUAGCUAGUAGGUGAGGUAAAGGCUCACCUAGGCGACGAUCCGUAGCUGGUCUGAGAGGACGACCAGCCACACUGGAACUGAGACACGGUCCAGACUCCUACGGGAGGCAGCAGUGGGGAAUUUUGGACAAUGGGCGCAAGCCUGAUCCAGCCAUGCCGCGUGAGUGAAGAAGGCCUUCGGGUUGUAAAGCUCUUUCGGUGGGGAAAAACGAUCCUGGGCGAACAGUCCGGGUGAGGGAUGGUACCCGCAGAAGAAGCACCGGCUAACUACGUGCCAGCAGCCGCGGUAAUACGUAGGGUGCGAGCGUUAAUCGGAAUUACUGGGCGUAAAGCGUGCGCAGGCGGCCAUUUAAGUCUGCUGUGAAAGCCCCGGGCUUAACCUGGGAACUGCGGUAGAAACUGGAUGGCUGGAGUGCGGCAGAGGGGGGUGGAAUUCCACGUGUAGCAGUGAAAUGCGUAGAGAUGUG